rnacentral:rRNA from 1 species
AGUGAACGCUGGCGGUAGGCCUAACACAUGCAAGUCGAACGGCAGCACAGUAAGAGCUUGCUCUUACGGGUGGCGAGUGGCGGACGAGUGAGGAAUACAUCGGAAUCUACUUUUUCGUGGGGGAUAACGUAGGGAAACUUACGCUAAUACCGCAUACGACCUACGGGUGAAAGCAGGGGAUCUUCGGACCUUGCGCGAUUGAAUGAGCCGAUGUCGGAUUAGCUAGUUGGCGGGGUAAAGGCCCACCAAGGCGACGAUCCGUAGCUGGUCUGAGAGGAUGAUCAGCCACACUGUAACUGAGACACGGUCCAGACUCCUACGGGAGGCAGCAGUGGGGACUAUUGGACAAUGGGCGCAAGCCUGAUCCAGCCAUACCGCGUGGGUGCAGAAGGCCUUCGGGUUGUAAAGCCCUUUUGUUGGGAAAGAAAAGCAGCAGGUUAAUACCCCGCUGUUCUGACGGUACCCAAAGAAUAAGCACCGGCUAACUUCGUG